AGAGUUUGAUCCUGGCUCAGGACGAACGCUGGCGGCGUGCCUAACACAUGCAAGUCGAGCGGAGACAGUGAGUAGCUUGCUAUGAGCUGUUUUAGCGGCGGACGGGUGAGUAACGCGUGAGCAACCUUUCCCAGACAGGGGAAUAACACACCGAAAGGUGUACUAAUACCGCAUAAGACCACGGGAUCGCAUGGUUCUGAGGUAAAAGAUUUAUCGGUUUGGGGUGGGCUCGCGUCCGAUUAGGUAGUUGGUGAGGUAACGGCCCACCAAGCCGACGAUCGGUAGCCGACCUGAGAGGGUGAUCGGCCACAUUGGGACUGAGACACGGCCCAAACUCCUACGGGAGGCAGCAGUGGGGAAUAUUGGGCAAUGGAGGAAACUCUGACCCAGCAACGCCGCGUGGAGGAAGAAGGUUUUCGGAUCGUAAACUCCUGUCCUUGGAGACGAGUAGAAGACGGUAUCCAAGGAGGAAGCCCCGGCUAACUACGUGCCAGCAGCCGCGGUAAUACGUAGGGGGCAAGCGUUGUCCGGAAUAAUUGGGCGUAAAGGGCGCGUAGGCGGCUCGGUAAGUCUGGAGUGAAAGUCCUGCUUUUAAGGUGGGAAUUGCUUUGGAUACUGUCGGGCUUGAGUGCAGGAGAGGUUAGUGGAAUUCCCAGUGUAGCGGUGAAAUGCGUAGAGAUUGGGAGGAACACCAGUGGCGAAGGCGACUAACUGGACUGUAACUGACGCUGAGGCGCGAAAGUGUGGGGAGCAAACAGGAUUAGAUACCCUGGUAGUCCACACUGUAAACGAUGAAUGCUAGGUGUAGGGGGUAUCGACCCCUUCUGUGCCGCAGUCAACACAAUAAGCAUUCCGCCUGGGGAGUACGGCCGCAAGGUUGAAACUCAAAGGAAUUGACGGGGGCCCGCACAAGCAGCGGAGCAUGUGGUUUAAUUCGACGCAACGCGAAGAACCUUACCAGGUCUUGACAUCCACUUAAACUUACAGAGAUGUAAGGUGUGCUUGCACAAAGUGAGACAGGUGGUGCAUGGUUGUCGUCAGCUCGUGUCGUGAGAUGUUGGGUUAAGU
rnacentral:rRNA from 1 species